UGAAGGAACUGAGGCAGAGGACAGUAUCUUUCUUUCCAAGGCUACGUGGCUGGAGGGAGCACCUGCCAGACAAGGUAACAUUCCGAGGGCAAAAAGGCCUCCUCCAUCAGCAUGAAGAAUGGAAAACGCUGAGCUGAAGGACAGGGAUCACCUUGCCCUGCCCAGGUCCCAGAGCUUGCUGUUCAGGGAUACCAUCUGCCAUGUUGGAGAGGCCCACAUCACUAGGAACUGAGGGAGGUCUUUAACCCCACAGGAGUGAGAAUCAGAAACCGUAGAUGCAUCCAUGGCUGGUAAGGAAUCUGUGGUCCUCCUGAAGCAGAGAGAGAAGCUGUAGCUGGACAGUUUGCUUAGCACCAGCCAGAAGACCAACAUGAGGACUAAAUGAGAUCUCUGUAAGGAGCUCAGCCCUGGACGCAGCAAGUGCUUUGUGCAAGCCUGGCCAUGAAGCUGUCAGAAGACUUGAUGCCAUUGGCUUCAUCCUAGGCCCUGUCACUGUGAAGACCUUGCAAGGUAUCCUGGAGCCUGGGCUGGAGUAUAGUAUGAGGAUCCCUAGUCCUCAAA